AAAGUCCCCAAAACAACUGUCUGGGAAGCCAGAAAGAUGGGGAGAGGGAGAACAAGUUUGUGUUCUUGAGGUACCAGCAGAGCACACACUGAAAGUACCGUGGGAUGGGAACUUCUUCCCUUCAGAAAGAUGGGAAAGGAUGAAGAGAUUUGGUGCAUUCAGUCUCUACCUGUACAGAAACUGCUCAAUUCCCCUGUUCAGGCUGGCACCUUCUCUGCAGCUCUUCCAGUUCUGUCACAUCCAGCUGGAGACAGGGUAACAAAAGCUGCACAAAGCUUAUGAAGCACAGGAACAUCACAAGUUAGAGCUGGAAGGGCUGCAUUAAGAGCUGAGCCCCAAGACUAGCACAAAAUGAGAGCAAAGGGACUUUUCCAGUGAUAAAUCUGAAGAGAUAUAAAGGCAUUUCCAGGACCAUCACUAUGAUAAAAUCCAGGUACAGAUUUUUCCUUUACAACUCUCUGUUUAAAUAAUCAUUUGGUGACCUGUGAUGGCACACAUAGUUAUGCAUAUAGUAGGUGCUACAAUACAGUUCAGUUUGGAUUUUUAUUUUUAAUGCUCUCAACACCUUUAUUUCCCACCCCCCCACCAGCACAGUCAAAAAGAACAGCCAAGUUUCAGCUUACAGAGGUAGGAUCUGCUGCACUCCUGUUUAUGGGAUUUGGGCAGUGGAUUUCCAGGGGAGGUUUCCAGCCUACACACUCAUGGACCACUGUGUCAUAAUGGUCUGGUAAAAAGAAUGCUCAUCCCUUUUCUCUGAAACCUGUCCUUCAAACACAGCAGAAAUGGAGCUUUACCCACUCUGCAAUUGAGUAAAAACAGCAUCAACAUCCUUGUCUUCACCAGUGAAAACUGUUUUCUCCCUUUCCUUCCCCCUAUCCAAACUCUCUAAAAAAUGAGUUGGAUAAGUGAAUCAGCCCUUACCCCAUCAGAGAAUGGAAAAAGACCAUGUUUAUAUGCUUUAUCCCCUUUUAAAAAAAUUAAUACACAGUUUAUGACCAUCGACACAUUUACGCUCAUUGUUAGGAGGGUGGGCAAACAGAAAUUUUCAAGAUCUUUGCACCAAACAAACAUAACCCCUCUGGUCAGCUCCAAUCAAUUCAGAUGGCAGCUGUACACUCACUGACAUUUUUGGAAAAAACGGCUGUAUUUUGUGACUCCCAAAGAAAUCUACACCCUCCCAACAGCAACACCUAAAUCAAUCUACUCUGCUUCAGAGUAAGCUGAAAAAUAGUUACACAUCAUCAAGUUAUAUAGAAAUAUAUUUUUAUAUACAUUACAUCUCUACCAAAAUGCAAAAGUAAUUUUAGUACAGAAGAGUGAGCUAUUGCAUCUCUGUGAUGCACUUCAUGGGGGCAACUCAUGUGAGCACAGUCACUGGGCAUUAUGAAGGCACUGGUUUAGUUCUUACCUCUGCUGCUUAUACACAGUGAUAUAUUAAUAAAAUUACCAUUUCCCUGAUGUCCCAGGACCUACAGCUGCUUUCAGGUGUCCUAUUGUUUACAAUUAUUCCAAGUAAUUAAAUAUCAGAGACUGGGUGUUUCAAAGAUGUAUCUUUGGUUAAAAUCUACCAAACAAAGCCCCUCAGCUGCUGCAUC